rnacentral:rRNA from 1 species
GACGAACGCUGGCGGCGUGCUUAACACAUGCAAGUCGAACGGUAAGGCCCUUUGGGGUACACGAGUGGCGAACGGGUGAGUAACACGUGGGUGAUCUGCCCUGCACUUCGGGAUAAGCCUGGGAAACUGGGUCUAAUACCGGAUAGGACCACUGCCUGCAUGGGUGGUGGUGGAAAGCUUUUGCGGUGUGGGAUGGGCCCGCGGCCUAGCAGCUUGAUGGUGGGGCGAUGGCCUACCAAGGCGACGACGGGUUGCCGGCCUGAGAGGGUGACCGGCCACACUGGGACUGAGAUACGGCCCAGACUCCUACGGGAGGCAGCAGUGGGGAAUAUUGCACAAUGGGCGCAAGCCUGAUGCAGCGACGCCGCGUGAGGGAUGACGGCCUUCGGGUUGUAAACCUCUUUCAGCACCGACGAAGCGCAAGUGACGGUAGGUGCAGAAGAAGGACCGGCCAACUACGUGCCAGCCGCCGCCGUAA